UUGACCUCAAAUCAGGUAGGACUACCCGCUGAACUUAAGCAUAUCAAUAAGCGGAGGAAAAGAAACUAACAAGGAUUCCCCUAGUAACUGCGAGUGAAGUGGGAAAAGCUCAAAUUUAAAAUCUGACAGUUGUGACUGUC
rnacentral:rRNA from 1 species